rnacentral:rRNA from 1 species
GACGAACGCUGGCGGCGUGCUUAACACAUGCAAGUCGAGCGGUAAGGCCCUUUCGGGGGUACACGAGCGGCGAACGGGUGAGUAACACGUGGGUGACCUGCCCUCAGCUCUGGGAUAAGCCUGGGAAACCGGGUCUAAUACCGGAUAUGACUCCAUGACGCAUGUUGUGGGGUGGAAAGCCUUGUGCGGCUGAGGAUGGGCCCGCGGCCUAUCAGCUUGUUGGUGGGGNGAUGGCCUACCAAGGCGACGACGGGUAGCCGGCCUGAGAGGGCGACCGGCCACACUGGGACUGAGACACGGCCCAGACUCCUACGGGAGGCAGCAGUGGGGAAUCUUGCGCAAUGGGCGAAAGCCUGACGCAGCGACGCCG